AGCGAACGCUGGCGGCAGGCCUAACACAUGCAAGUCGAGUGCCGUAGCAAUACGGAGCGGCAGACGGGAGAGUAACACGUGGGAACGUACCCUUUGGUUCGGAACAACCCAGGGAAACUUGGGCUAAUACCGGAUAAGCCCUCACGGGGAAAGAUUUAUCGCCGAAGGAUCGGCCCGCGUCUGAUUAGCUAGUUGGUGGGGUAACGGCCCACCAAGGCGACGAUCAGUAGCUGGUCUGAGAGGAUGAUCAGCCUCACUGGGACUGAGACACGGCCCAGACUCCUACGGGAGGCAGCAGUGGGGAAUAUUGGACAAUGGGCGCAAGCCUGAUCCAGCCAUGCCGCGUGGGUGAUGAAGGCCCUAGGGUUGUAAAGCCCUUUCGGCGGGGAAGAUAAUGACGGUACCCGCAGAAGAAGCCCCGGCUAACUUCGUGCCAGCCGCCGCGGUAAUAC
rnacentral:rRNA from 1 species